CUUAUUACGGAGUGGUAGUAUAAACUAUAGCAAUACCAUGGUAGUACGUAUAGUAUAUUAUUUCUGAGGACCUUGAAUACACAGUGCGACACGCGUCCGCUCGGGAGCGAACCCGAUCACUUGUCGUUGAUUCGCGCACACCGGCGUCGCUAUCGAAUCUCCGCGGUCCAGCGGUGCGCUCGCAAUUUUCGAUCACAACAACAAUAUCAUCUGUGCUCGUUCACAACAACAUCACAUUCUCAGUACCUAUAUCAUAUUGUAUCUCAAAUAUAUAAUUUAUUUUCUGAACCUCGAACCGACAACAUGAAACCGACCGUAGCGCUUCGGCACGCGGUUUCGGUGCUGAUCGCGGUGGUACUAAUUUCGGUCAGGCCCAGCCAAGGUAUGGCGUACACAGUUUUCCAGGCAGUAGUCGAGUACUACCGGAUGGUAGCACCGGAACCAGUGGACGCAGUACCGGAUGCGCCGUACGUUGGCCGGCAGUAUGACUUUAUUGUGGUGGGCGCCGGUUCCGGUGGGUCGGUGGUUGCCAACCGGUUGACCGAGGUGGCAGGCUGGACGGUGCUGCUGAUCGAGGCGGGUGGCGAAGAGAACGCCAUGACAGACGUACCACUGCUUGUCAGCUAUCUGAUUGGCACCGGAUACGACUGGGGCUACCGAACCGAACCACAAGACGGCGUGUGCGGCGCGAUGGAUGACCGCAAGUGUCGGUGGCCACGGGGCAAGGUGAUGGGCGGCACCAGCGUUCUCAACUACAUGAUGUACACGCGGGGCGUACCGGAGGACUACGACCGUUGGGCCAGGCUGGGGAACGUCGGUUGGAGCUACGCGGACGUGUUGCCGUACUUUAAAAAAUCGGAGGACCUGGCAGACGGCCGGGUCGCCGCGUCACCAGAGGCAGCGCAUCUGCACGGCCGCGGCGGAUACCUUAAGGUCCAGGAACCAUCGUGGAAGACGCCGCUAGGACCGGCGUUCCUGCGCGCCGGCCGCGAGCUGGGCUACGAGACACCCGUUGAUUACAACGGACCACGGCCACUUGGAUUCUCGUAUGUACUGGCAACGACAGACCAUGGAUCCCGAUGCAGCGCGUCCAAAGCUUUCCUGAGGCCGAUCCGGCACAGGCCCAACCUUACGGUGGCCAAGCGGACGACGGUCACCAAGGUGCUCAUCGAGCCUGGUACAAAGCGUGCGUACGGUGUGCGGUUCGUCAGGAAUCGUCGGACCUCUUUGGUGUACGCCCGUAAGGAGGUGAUACUGUGUGCCGGGGUGUUUAACUCACCACAGCUGCUCAUGUUGUCGGGUGUUGGCCCGGCGGAACACCUGGCCAACGUUGGCGUGCCCGUCGUUAGCGACCUCCGGGUAGGCUACAACCUGCAGGACCAUGUGUCCAUGGCCGGACUGGUGUUCCUGGUAAACCAGUCGGUUACUAUCGUCGAAAGUCGGUAUCGAAACCCUAGGUACUUGGUCCAGUAUGCCCUAGCCGGUGACGGACCGCUGACCGUGCCCGGUGGCGCCGAAGCGGUGGCGUUCACGGCCACGAGGUAUGCAACCAAUGGGUCCGUGGUACCCGACAUGGAACUGGUUUUCGGUCCCGGAGCGCUGACCGGUGACACGGGCGGCUCACUGCACCGCUUGUUCGGCAUGCGUGAAGACUUCUACGAACAGGUGUACGGCGGGUUCCGCGGCCGGGACGCUUGGGGCCUAGUGCCCAUACUACUACGACCACGCAGUCGCGGCCGGGUCAUGUUGCGAUCGGCCAACCCGUUUCACGCACCGCUUCUCUUCCCCGGCUACUUGUCUGACACCCACGACCGCGACGUGCUCGUCGAAGGCAUAAAACAGGCCAUCGCAGUCAGCAAAACUCAAGCAUUUCAAAAAUACGGGUCUACUCUGUUGUCGGUGCCGUUCCCGGGCUGUGAACAUGAGACAUUCGGGUCGGACGAGUACUGGGGUUGCUCCAUCGGGCAGCUGACCACAAACCUUCACCACCAGGUGGGUACAUGCAAGAUGGGACCUGCCUCGGACCCGGACGCCGUGGUCGAUCCAAAGCUCAGGGUACGUGGCGUCAAAGGGCUUCGGGUGGUGGACGCAUCCAUCAUGCCGCUUAUACCGGGUGGUCACACCAACGCGAUGACAUUCAUGAUUGGCGAGAAAGCGGCCGACAUGAUCAAGGAAAACUGGAUCAAAUGAUCGAACCGGUCGUGCUACGCUGCUACCACUGUGAAUAUCACAUAUAAUAUAUUAUGCUACGGUGCUAAUGACGAGUGAAAUAUGAUAAAUCAAUCAUUUGUUCGCAUAAUAUAUUAUAUUAAUAUAUUGGACAAUAUAAUCGUUUUGUGAAAUACAUUCGUCAUCGUCAAUACCACGGUUCAUAUGGGUACCUAUACUAAUGCAUAAUAAAUCGAGUACACGCGUUUGAUUCAAUGAAUAAUAUAGUGUUUAAUAUAGUAUACGCUAUGAGCUAUAUUAUGUACCUAAAUAAGAAGAUUAUAGACUUUAGUUGUGUCCGUCAAAAUUCAACACGUAUCUCAGAAUUUAAUUUUCGUUACCUCGAAUAUAAUAUUAAAACGUGUCUCAAUAACAGAUAACUCGAACUCAUUUCAUCCCCACAACCUUCGAGGCAAGAGCCUAUGUUACCGGAAAAGACAUAAAUUAAGGAAUUAACGUUAAUGACUAUAGUCAAUAAAAUGAACUCUAAUUUUAGGUAGGUACUAAUUAUAAGUUGUAAAUAGUUAUGUAUGUAAAAGUGUAAAUAUUGUGUUUGUACAUUUUAAUAAUUAGAAACGGCCUUUCGUUGUAAAGUCAAUUUAUCGAUUUAUCUAUAAUGGGUUCUAACAAUAACGUACUUUCCGAUUCUAAUAUGUCGAUGGUCGUACAUUUGAUACAUUUUUUAUAAAAGAUGGCCGUCUAUCGGAUACAAUAUAUAUGCCAUCUAUGUAUAUAGUAGGUUUACAAUAUAAAUCGCGAUUAAUUAUUUGUUAUAAUGAUUUAUUAUAUUAAUUAAAUUAUAAUAUUUGUACACACACAUGCCUACUAGCACAUUGCAUAACAUGUAUCUAGUAUUCUAGUACCUACAUAUAUUAUCUACCUUCAAAGUGUCAAGGUACACCAAAUUUAGAAAAUAAAUGAUUUAAUUUAUUUAUUUUACCUGUGUAAAGUAUAAAUGUAUAAUUUAUCUUAUACGCAUUAUUACAUUUCUGACCCAAUUUAAAUAUUUCGCUAAACAAAAUUAUCAACAUUGUCUAUCAGUUUUAGACAUUUAUAUAAUUUCCUAAUCAUUGUUGUAAAUGUAUUGACAAAAUAUUUGAAUUUUACAACCUUGCCUACCUAUGUUGUCAUUUAAUGCCUAGGCAUUGCCCAUAUCGACUACUAAUGAUAGGAAUUUAUGAUAUUGGCUAGGAAUUUACGUUAUUACCUAACUUACAUCAUUGACGGUAACAUAUACAAUAUACAUGUUAUAACUUAUAAUAAAUACCUACAAAAAAUGCACCCAAUCAACAGCAUUUUUGGUAUAUAAAUAUAUAAUAUGAUAUUAUCUAGUCAAAAAAUAAAAUGUGCAAUACAUUUUGCUUCCAUUUUAUUUAUUUUUGUUAUAAAUUACACUUUAGUUUAUUCCUAUUUAUGAUUAUGAAUAUUUUGUAAAAAUGUUAUAAUAUUGUACAAUAAUUGUACUAUAUAAUAUAAUAUUUAUGUAUUGGAAUAAAACAAUAUUUUUUUUGUAUGUCUUACUAUAAUCUUAAAUUGAAGAUAAAAAAAUGCAAUGCAAACAAUGUAAAAAACUUGGUUUUUCAUAAAUAAUCACCUUGUGUAAAUAGUGUAUAAUUUGAUUAUUUAUAUUAUUGUUUUUCUUCAACAGGU
rnacentral:misc_RNA from 1 species